GGGGGGUUAGGGUGGGAGGAAGAGAGAAUGGGUAACGGCAGAAUGAGGGAGCAAGAAGGGUUUCAGGGGGAUGCAGAGAGGUAUUAUAAGAAGAGAACCAUAUAGAAGGAACAUGGAUUUAGAAGAAUGGGGAGUCUGCUUUGAGUGGAAGAAGGAGGAGUUCCGAGGGCGUUUGAAAUUUUGCGGGGCAAGCCCCCCAAAGACCACAUGUGCCUGUCCAUUUGGGCCUUCCUCCUGUGUUUUCCCAUAGGCAUUGUAGCCUUGAUCUUCUCUGUCCAGACAAGGCACAGCAACAAGUGGAAUAACCGAGCUUUGGCAGCUGAGACCUCCUACCAAGCCUACUACAUUGCAGUUUUGGGGAUUGUUUUGGGAAGCUUCAUCAUACUCACCAUCUUGAUUUACCUCAUGAUGGAUUUACUUGCUCGUUAACCUCCUUUUCAGCAAACUACCAAAUAUAUACAACAGUGUUACUUACCUUGGCUCUAAGUAUCCAUUUGGCCAAAUGGGACAUCUAUUCCUAAAUGUCUGGACUGCUAAGUUUUGACAGCCUAGGCAGCAUCUUGAGGUAGUUGGUGGAGCAAGAAAAGAGCAAGUUGGGCAGCCCACUGGACCAGAAUUCAGGAUCAACCCUGGGACCCUGCCAAGAGAUGAGGCCGUGGAGGCAGGGUAGAGCACUAUUCCCCCAGGGCAGUCUCCCCUCCUGCUCACACCAUGCAUUCAUGCCAUAAAUCUAUUCAUGCCAAAGGCCUUGGCUGUGCUACCCAACUCUAGGGAUAUAGCAGCGACCAUUUCAGAAUCAACCACACCCCCCUAAGAACUUAUAAACCAAGUGAAGACAGACAUAUCACCAGACAGUGAGUCCAGUGCAGUCUGAUCUUUAGUAAGAGAAACCUAGGCAGAAGGGUUGUAAGAGGCCAAAGCUAAUCUUGGAUACUUAUGGUCUACCAGAAAGUCAGCAGCUGUCCAUGAACUGAUAAGAAUUCAGGUCAAGUCACAAUUGUAGAGAGGUUCUAUUACAGGUAUGGUUGCCUCUUCUCCCUCUUUACCACCAAAGUUUGCCAUUUAUGCUUUAUUCAACACAUAAUUUCUGAGCACAUAUGAUGUACCAGGCACUUUACAAGGAGCUGGAAACUGAGAGCAAGAUAAGUCUCCUUUCUGAAGAAGCUUACACUCUACUGGGAAGAACAUAAACAAAUAGACUUCUAAAUAAACACGUUAAUUACAGGGAGUGCUCUCCUGAAGAGGAAAUCCAACACUCGUUCUUCACCUUCCAUCUGACAAAGACUGCUCACAGAAAUCUUUUGGCAGACAUACGGCUGGCUAUCUAUCUUUAGGACCUCCAACCCCCUCCAUGCCUGGCUCUGCACUGGGUGAUGUCGGGGAUACAACGGUGACCAACAUAGAUCCCUUCCCCUGUCCUCAGGAUUUCUGCAGUCCAGACAGGAAGACAGGCCCACCACCAAAUGUGACUAUGCCAACUUCACCUUUUUGCAUCAGCCUUUCGGGAAAUGGAAAAGAAAACAUCUUAUGUAGGAGGAAGAGGAAAGCCACUGCAACUUCCUCCAUGAACAGCUUGAGGUGCUUCACUUCUGCCCUCCACAUCUUGCCCAAGAAUCUCCAUUGGUCCAUCCUAAUUGAAGGCACACCAAGAAGGUAAUUCUAAGAUACAGUUCCUUCAGCCUGGUCAAGCUGACACAUUACAAAGCCACGGCACAGAGACUGGAGGGAACUGGUGAGAUCGUCAGUGACCCCUGGGGAGAUGACAGCAUGAGCAACUCUGCUCUCCCUUGAGAACAGAGGCACCUUGAAUCCAUGUGUCUAAUAACCUCUGGGUGGCUUUUUUUUUAGAGUUGGAGGGAGGCUGGUAGUCGCUAUCUCUUAUUUGGCUUUAGCCUUCCUUUCAAAACACACAGAAUCCUUAUGUUAUAGCUUCAGUCAAGGUGCAUCUGAUUAGUUAUCAUUAGAUAAUGGUUAUAGAUGUUUCAUUAAGUCAUAUUCCAACUUCCCAUAAUAUUCCAACUUUUGUUUUGCUUUUUUUUUUGUUUUUUUUUUUAAUUUUUAUUUAUUCAUGAUAGGCACACAGUGAGAGAGAGAAAGG